GUAGGGAAUCUUGCACAAUGGGGGCAACCCUGAUGCAGCGACGCCGCGUGAGUGAUGAAGGACUUCGGUUUGUAAAGCUCUGUUCUCAGGGAAAAACACAAUGAUUGUACCUGAGGAGAAAGGGACGGCUAACUUCGUGCCAGCAGCCGCGGUAAUACGAAGGUCCCUAGCGUUGCUCGGAAUUAUUGGGCGUAAAGCGGGUGUAGGCGGUUUUGUAAGUCGGGAGUGAAAGCCCUGGGCUCAACCCAGGAAGUGCUUUCGAUACUGCGAAACUUGAAUGUGGGAGAGGGUACUAGAAUUCCUGGUGUAGUGGUGAAAUACGUAGAGAUCAGGAGGAACACCGGUGGGGAAGCCGGGUACCUGGCCCAACAUUGACGCUGAGACCCGAAAGCGUGGGGAUCAAACAGGAUUAGAUACCCUUGUAGUCC
rnacentral:rRNA from 1 species